rnacentral:sRNA from 1 species
GUUUAUGUUCAUAUUUAUGUGGGCAAGAUAAAAUCCUUUUGACUUGUUACAACUGUUAUGACAUAUAUAUUUUUGUUCUGUGUUGUAUUCUUUUAUAUGUGUAUUGUACUGGUUAUUUUCUGUACUUUUAUUCACUUAACCACCGUAUUCCAUGAAACAGCGUUCGGCUGAGAACCAAGAGUUUUCAUCAUAACACAAUCAAACUUUUUCUCUCCAUUUCCUAUUUUAAUCUCUCCACUCCACCUGAAUACAAACAGUGUUAUAACUGUAAGGGUGCAUACAUUCUUGAAUGGAUCUGAUCAGUGUUAAGGCCAAAAAAAAUUAAUGAACAGGUUCUCAGGCCAAAAUUUUCAAAAUAUAAUGCAACAGACAGGUCUUUUAUAUUUAUUUUUAUUGCAAGAUUCCCAAAAUAUUAUAUUUGAUAUUGAAAAUUGAAAUAAUCAAUAAUUGACUGCCUAAUAACCAACACAUUUAUUCUUUGGCCUAAACUAACACUUGUGCUCUGAAGGUUACACGUUUUCUAGGUGGCCUCAGAUUUUUUUACUGGCCCAUAGAGCUAGGUAGUCUACUUAACAUUCGUAUGAUUUGCCAAAAAUUGAAAAUUAUCACUAGAUGCUGUAGUGUAUGCAGGAUGGAUCUGCCAACAAUUAUUAAUGUGUCAGGCAUAGGCAUUUUACAACAAUGUUCAUCUUAAGACAUAUGAUAUAGAACACUGUACAGAUUGUUUUGGUGUUAUAUAACAGUAUAACUGAGUGGUAACUGAGUCGCUGUGUAACCUUCAGCUUUAUGACAGUCUGGAUGAAGAGGCUCAUUAUCUGUGAUAUCUUUGUCAGUAGAGAAAUAGUUCUACUAUGUGUUAUACUUUAUGCCUUUGUGCAAUAAAUAUCUUUUUGUGUU